CCUACGGGAGGCAGCAGUGGGGAAUAUUGGACAAUGGGGGGAACCCUGAUCCAGCCAUGCCGCGUGUGUGAAGAAGGCCCUCGGGUUGUAAAGCACUUUCAGUGAGGAAGAACGCCUGGUGGUUAAUACCCAUCAGGAAAGACAUCACUCACAGAAGAAGCACCGGCUAACUCCGUGCCAGCAGCCGCGGUAAUACGGAGGGUGCGAGCGUUAAUCGGAAUUACUGGGCGUAAAGCGCGCGUAGGUGGCUUGAUAAGCCGGUUGUGAAAGCCCCGGGCUCAACCUGGGAACGGCAGCCGGAACUGUCAAGCUAGAGUGCAGGAGAGGAAGGUAGAAGUCCCGGUGUAGCGGUGAAAUGCGUAGAGAUCGGGAGGAAUACCAGUGGCGACGGCGGCCUUCUGGACUGACACUGACACUGAGGUGCGAAAGCGUGGGUAGCAAACAGGAUUAGAUACCCUUGUAGUC
rnacentral:rRNA from 1 species